rnacentral:tRNA from 1 species
UCUAAUAUGGCAGACCAGUGCAAUGAACUUAAGCUUCAUAUACAGAGAAUUAUCUUUUAUUAGAA